rnacentral:tRNA from 1 species
GGAAAUAGCUCAGCGGUAGGGCACAUGCUUGGUAUGCCCGAGGUCCUGGGUUCAAUCCCCAGUACGUCCA